UACAGCUAUUUUAUUUAAGGUUGUCCACGAGCAAAGCGGAAAAGUCGAAUACGAGCGCGAAAGGCCUUUUGCGCUCGUAUUCGACUUUUCCGCUUUGCUCGUGGACAACCUU